rnacentral:lncRNA from 1 species
AAAAAAAUAACAAAUUUUAAAAAAAAUCUAUCAUGGAUUAAAAAAAAAAUCACAAAUUUUCAAAAAAUUCUAUCAUGGAUUACAAAAAAAAAUUCGAUCAUGGAUUAAACAAAAAAAAUCACAAAUUUUCAAAAAAUUCAAUCAUGGAUUACAUAAAAUUCGAUCAUGGAUUACAUAAAAUUCGAUCAUGGAUUACAUAAAAUUCGAUCAUGGAUUACAAAAAAAAACAAACAAAAAAAACAAA